AGACGAGGGGCCCGAGCGUUAAUCGGAAUUACUGGGCUUAAAGGGAGCGUAGGCGGCUGCGCAAGCGUCUCGUGAAAGCCCCCGACUCAAUCGGGGAACUGCGGGGCGAACUGUGUGGCUUGAGGCAGGUAGAGGUCGUCGGAACGCUAGGUGGAGCGGUGAAAUGCGUAGAUAUCUAGCGGAACGCCGAAGGAGAAGUCAGGCGACUGGGCCUGUCCUGACGCUGAGGCUCGAAAGCGUGGGUAGCGAACGGGAUUAGAAACCCCAGUAGUCC
rnacentral:rRNA from 1 species